rnacentral:sRNA from 1 species
CGGGCGCCUCCGCCGAAUCCGGGCCGCCCCCACGGGAGUUCGGAACCGGGGACCCAUACGCAGCACCGGGGUGAAUCGGUCCUUAUCCCCCACUCGGACCGUAGGGCAGCCUUCCGUUCCGCCCGAACCCGACAGCUAACCCGGUAGGCGGUCCACGGAAGGAGAU